GUAACAAAAGCAAGAUAUAGAAGAAGGCAUAAGCCAGAAUAGGCGAGGGUGUCAGAAGAAAUCAGAGAGGGUGGGGAGCUUCACCUCGCCUUUACUAGAGAGGGGAAUGGUGAAGUUGCCAAUGAUAGGAAGGUCAAUGGUGAGACCCACUUCUAAUUCAUAGUCUAUGUCCCAGUCUCUGCUAAUGUCCCUCACCAGGCUCACUAGUAUGCUAUGCGGCACAUUCACUGGCACAUUCAGAAUUGUUAUGUCACUUGCCUUCAGUGAUCCAGGGUCAGGCAUAUUCCCUGAUGCAAUCACUCUGCCAUCGCUUUUGAGAGUGUAGGAGACUUCACAAAUGGGCAGUGGAUGGCUGUAUGGAUUAUUGACAGAAAUCUUGGCAAUAUAUUCUACGCGAUCACGGUGGACGCUACUCAGAUCCACGUCUGAGACGGUAGCCUCCGGCUUUUUUAUGUUGGCUACCUUCUCCGCCACAAAAUUCUUCGCCUUG
rnacentral:misc_RNA from 1 species